UACGGAGGGUGCAAGCGUUAUCCGGAUUCACUGGGUUUAAAGGGUGCGUAGGUGGGCUGGUAAGUCAGUGGUGAAAUCUCCAGGCUUAACUUGGAAACUGCCAUUGAUACUAUCAGUCUUGAAUACCGUGGAGGUCAGCGGAAUAUGUCAUGUAGCGGUGAAAUGCUUAGAUAUGACAUAGAACACCGAUUGCGAAGGCAGCUCGCUAAACUUAUAUUGACGCUGAGGCACGAAAGCGUGGGGAUCAAACAGG
rnacentral:rRNA from 1 species